GCCUGGCUGGCUCAGUUGGUAGAGCAUGUGACUCUUGAUCUCAAGGUUGUAAGUUCAAGCUCCAUGUUGGGUG
rfam:Mustela putorius furo unplaced genomic scaffold scaffold00122, whole genome shotgun sequence.